AUAAUUCUUUCGGUAAUAAACGUCCAUCAGCUGAUUCUAAACGUAAGCAAAAGACAAAACUAGAUUUUUAUUGCUGUAUUUUGCUGUUUAUACAUUAAUAUUAUAGUUGGGUGCUGUAAUCUUUACAGUAAAUCAUGUUUUUUUAUCAUAAAUAUGUUCAUUCACAAAAUAGGUAUACUAUGUACUUUUAGUUUGAUGCAGCAGCCAAAUCAUGAAAAUGGAAAGGAAUUGUUAGGUAAUAUACUUUUGUUUGCUGAUCUGAUGAAGGGGAAAUUGAAGAUAGGAAAGAAUAACUUUGAAACUGUCUUGAAUUUAGUUUAAGGUGAUAGUUGAAGACAUAUUUGGUGCUUGAACUAAAGUAGGCAGUUAUAAACAUUGAAAUAGUGGUCUUGGGUGGGUUAAUUAUUAAAGUAGGCAGUUUAAAGCAAUUUUUAGGGGGGUAUCAGGAUAACACGGGUAUUUACUUAUCACGGGGGGUUCUGGGCCCUAUCCCCCGUGAUUAUCGAGGCCCUACUGUACCUAUCUGCAGUUCUUUCUUGCCAGGUAAGGAAACAACAAGCAUUGUCUCAAUGCUGGGAACUGUUCUGUAUCAAAUUCAUUACCUCCUUUCAAUGUAGAAUCAGCUAUGUAAUUACCUGGUAAGUUACUUAUACAAAAAUGACAUUUUUAUGGUAAAAUAAAGUUUUAUAUAUACUGCUUAAAGUAUUUAAUUACAUCAGGGCCCUCCCUCCUUGCCUCACAUGGACAUAACGGCGCAAAUGAAUCGGAGCUCUCUGCCUAGUUAUUCCUCACAGCCCCUAAAAGUGGGCUGAGCAUGUUACCUACACCUACACAAAUGCUAAUGCUACCACGAAUUUUGAAUUUUUAGGCUUCCGCACAUAGGAAGUUCUUAGCUAUGUAGUAAUUACUAGGUAAGUAUAUAUAAAACCUUAUUUUAUCAUAAAAAUGUCAUUUUUGUGUGUUUUGGUUUUACAUUCUUGUUUUAAUAAUUAGGUAUCACUUAAGUAAAUAGUAAAACACUGGUAUAUAUAUGAAACAAAAUAUGGGAUAACAGUGUAAAAUAUGAAACAGAAUCAUAAGGACAAAAAGCUAGCAAAGAAGAACAGAGCAACAUGAAGAUAGGAAGUGGUUAAUAAAUAAAUUGUCAUUUUAUUGCCUUAUAUUUUUUUAAAUCUGUUAAUGAAUGUACCUUGUUUAUAGUAUUCAUCAGGGUUAAGUGUUAGAUUACUGGGGUAUUUGGGCUUAAAAGCAAAAUUUAUUAGGAAAACUUUCCAUGAAGUGGGAGCAGUUAGGUUCAGAAAUAGUAGAACUGGAAGCGGAAGAACAGAGGCUAGUGUGCCUGGGCAGAAAAUCAGAAAGAUCUGGACUACGUGAACAUUUAGGCAUAAAAUACAAAAGGUAGAAGAAUGGAGAUCUGAUUCAAGUUUCCAUAUUUAACCUGUACAAGGUUAAAUAUGGAAAUUUGCAUUUUCUGUUUCUGCCCAGGAUCUUUAGGGUUUUUAUCUGUAGUAUAUACUACUGGGGUGUGGGAUAAUAAGAUGGAAACUUUAAAGUCAGAUCAGACCAGAGGUACAGUAAAGAACAGGCAAAAGCACUCAAGUCUAGAUAGAAAAGAUAAGAGGAAAAAUUUGGACAAACAGGCCAAUGAUGUUGAAAAAGUAGCACCGUAUUUGCCGGCGUAUCAGACACACUUUUUAUAUUGAUAAAUGUUUAAAAAAACUGCCCUGCAUCCAAUGCGGCCAGGCCAUAUUACAGAUGGGAGACCGAAUGCUGUAGGCUAUGUUAGGCCUUUCUUACAGCAAGCACACGGGGUAGGUACAAAAAUUGAUGCUAAUAAGAAAACAUUUAAAAACAAGUUUAAAUAUUACAGUGAAUUGUGUUACUAAUAAUAGAAUAUUGAAAUCAAGCUGAAUUAUCAGCCUAUUAUCACAAAUUUACAAAAAAUUGCUUACGAUACGUCGGCACUAGCCUGUCAGAGCGCCUCAGUGGCGUGGUUGGUAUGGUGUUUGCGUCCCAGCUCGGUGGUUGCGGGUUCGAUUUUUGGCCAUUACAUUGAGGAGUGAGAGAUGUGUAUUUCUGGUGAUAGAAGUUAACUCUCGACGUGGUUCGGAAGUCAUGUAAAGCUGUUGGUCCCGUUGCUGAAUAACCACCGGUUCCAUGCAACAUAGACACACCAUACAAAGAAAACUAGCCUGUCAGCCAUUUGCAAUGAAUGGAUGUAAAGAAAACCAUAAAGCUGCCUAUUGUUUAUUUAUGAUAAAUUUCAUAGCGUUCAUAUUUAACUCCAGUAUACUCUCACAAUAUUGCAUUUAAUGCACAGAAUCAUACAUUUUUCUGAACAAAAUAAUUUUAAAAUAUUUUCAAAUUAAUAAAUGAUGAAACAUUAAAAUUGUUUCUAUCCACAAAAUAUCCUUUGAAAUAGGAGUGCAUCUUACACGCCAGCAAAUAUAGUAUGUUCAGGGGAGAGGCAUAGGUGUUGGAGUAACCCACAGAAUUUUCAAUAACAUUUGCCUGGAUGAACUUUAAACAGAAGACAGUGCUGUUCUAAUAAUUUUUGUGAGUUCAUGGAUUUGAUAUGGAUAAUUAAAUUGUCAUACUAGAAGCUGAAGGGCGUCUUAAUGUACUCCUAAAAGAAUUCUUAGUUUUUGAAGUGGAAUCAGUAGUAAAGACACUGAGGAGAAGGAAAACACCAGGUUAUGGGGUAACAUUACAGAUUAACAAGCUGGAUUUAGAAAAGGGAGGUGUUAUGCUGUUUAAAUAUUUAUGACAUUGUGCAACAGUGUGUAAAAUUAUAAGUCGUCCUGGUUGAUUUUGUUAUUAUAGGAAGACAUUGGAGAGCCCCUAGGCAUACUUUAUGGAAGGUCUUGUGUCACUGGGCAUACCUGGUAAAUAUGUAAAGUUGAUAGAAACAAACAAAUUAGAUACAAAGUUAAUUUUAAAGGGUCUUGUCAAGUGAACUUGUAGUGAAUUUACAGUGAAUAGUGAAUAAUGCUACAAGGGAAAGUUAUUUCACCUUUGCUGUUUUAACAUCUCAGAUUUUGUAAUGAAAAAGUGGUCAGAGAUGGAGGAAAUUCAGAUUGAAGUAGUAAUAUAAAGCUGACACUUAUAGUGGUCAGAUGAUACGGUUUUAAUCAAAACACCACAAGGGUUGCACAGUUUGCUUGAUAGAAUUAAUCAUAUACAUAGGGUAAUGGGACUGAAAAUAAAUCUUAAGAAAAAUGGAAGUAAUAGAUGGUGUGCUCAAAAGGAUGAAAUAACAUUUGAUGGGAAAAGAUUUAUUGAAAUAGAAUCUUGAAAACAUUGAGGAACAAGGUAUCUAGUAUAAGUCCUCUUUUGUAAGAAUUUAGUGAAAGACAUAAAAAAGGCAAAUCAGACAAUGGGAAGGCUGAAUAAGCUCUGGGAAUCAAAUAAACAAAUUCCAUAGUUGAUUAUGACAUCAGCAAAAACUGCAUUUUUAGAACAUAAACAAGUCCUCUUCUCUCUUUUCCACUCUUCCUCUGAUUUGGGUUAUCUGCUGUCUGCAGCUUCCAGAGGUUUAGUUCUCUGUGCUGUUAUUAUGGUGAUAAGUAAGGCCCUAGGCUCUGUCAAGUAAAAUCUUGAUAUUUUGCUAUUCUUUGUAUAUUGCAUAAAUUUAAAGAGGGGUGCUGUAAAUGCAGUUGUAUUCAAGUGGUUACAUCCAUGAAAAACUUUCCAAUCAUCUAUUGUAAAACUGUCAUUAAUGCUACUGUCCCAUGUGGUUAAAAUGUUGCACAUCUUUUGUGAGCAAGAAAUAAAAAAUAUAACUAGAACAGUCUGGUGGUCUGGAGUUCAAGCCCCAUUUGAGGCUUGAUGAUUUUCAUUGGCAGCACUGCCCUACUGCCUAGUGAGCUAGGAUUAGGGAUUUUGGGGAGACCACAGAGCUACUUACUGUGUUAUCAACAGCUACUACUGCUGGUUCUCGCUGGUCUUUGCUUGGGUGGAGAAGGAUCCUAGGACACUGAUCAUUUGUGUGUGUGUGUGUGUUUGUGUUUAUAUUGGUUUUUAAGAUAUUGUGAGACAAUGUAAUGACAUGUUACUUCCUCUGCUACUUAUGAACAACCUUCAAGACCUUAUAACUGAAUUUCAUUUUCUGACACUUCAGGGCUUGUGCAAGAUUUAAGAUUUAUGAAAAUUUAGUAAAUGUGAAGUUCAAGUUGAACAGGUGGGAAGAUACUAAGGGGAAUAGAUAGUUCCGUCUGCAUUGUGUUUAUGGAGUGCAAUAAGUUGAGGAAAGGAAAACUGCUUUUAAAUUUUGGUAGUAGUAUCAGAAUUCAAUUGACUAAAUAUUGAUGUUGGUUUUGGGAACUUUUAUUGUAAAAAUUGCACCAGAUAAGCUUAUACAGGUUAAUUUUUGUUUGCAGCUCCUCCAACAGUGCCCUCAAUUCCUGGUAUGCCAGUGACAACACCUAUCAAUCUACCUGGAAUGCCUCCUAUCACAGUAAGUGCCACUCUACCUCCUGAAUCAUUCCAAGGGAUAGCCACCAACCCCCAGCCAACAUCACAACCACAGCCAGUUCAGUAGCAGUCACAGAAUUAAUUGGGUAUUUGUUGGAUCUUAUGGAUUUAAGUUUUACAAAAAUUACAGCAGUAGUUAUAAGGUGACUGAGUAUUUAUGAGCAGAUGGCUUUAAAAUAUAUUGUAUUAUAUAGUAAUGUUAUUUGAGUACUAUAUCAUUCUGGAAAUUUUAGGAUUUAACACAGCAGCUAGUAGACUACUAAUGAUUGACAUAACUAUUGUUUAUAGUUGGAAAUUUUGUAUUACACUUUGUUGCUAGCUUUGUUUGGUUAUAAAUUUGGUUGCAUAUUCUAUGUCUUUAUGUACUGUUAAUAUCUCCUAAACAAUUAAAAAAUUUGAAAUUAA